rnacentral:rRNA from 1 species
UACGGGGGGUGCGAGCGUUGUCCGGAAUCACUGGGCGUAAAGGGCGCGUAGGUGGUCUGAUAAGGGUGUGGUGAAAGCCCGGGGCUCAACCCCGGGUCGGCCGUGCCGACUGUUAGACUAGAGUACUGUAGGGGCAGGCGGAAUUCCAGGUGUAGCGGUGAAAUGCGUAGAUAUCUGGAGGAACACCGGUGGCGAAGGCGGCAUCCUGGACCGGCAUUGACGCUGAGGCGCGAAAGCCAGGGGAGCAAACGGG